rnacentral:miRNA from 1 species
GGGAAAAUGUGGGUGUGGU